CCUACGGGAGGCAGCAGUGGGGAAUUUUGGGCAAUGGGCGCAAGCCUGACCCAGCGACGCCGCGUGGAGGAUGAAGGCCUUCGGGUUGUAAACUCCUGUCAGGUGGGAAGAAAUGCCCGUCGGUGAAUAGCCGACGGGAGUUGACGGUACCACCAAAGGAAGCCCCGGCUAACUCCGUGCCAGCAGCCGCGGUAAUACGGAGGGGGCAAGCGUUAUUCGGAUUUACUGGGCGUAAAGCGCACGUAGGCGGCUAGGCAAGUCGCAGGUGAAAGCCCUCGGCUCAACCGAGGAACUGCCUGCGAAACUGCUCUGCUUGAGUCCGGGAGGGGGGAGCGGAAUUCCCAGUGUAGCGGUGAAAUGCGUAGAUACUGGGAGGAACACCGGUGGCGAAGGCGGCUCCCUGGACCGGUACUGACGCUGAGGUGCGAAAGCGUGGGUAGCAAACAGGAUUAGAUACCCUGGUAGUCCACGCCGUAAACGAUGGGCACUAGGUGCAGCGGGUGUCGACCCCUGCUGUGCCGAAGUUAACGCAUUAAGUGCCCCGCCUGGGGAGUACGGUCGCAAGGCUGAAACUCAAAGGAAUGACGAAUCGUCGACCCGGCCCGGC
rnacentral:rRNA from 1 species